rnacentral:rRNA from 1 species
GAUGAACGCUAGCGGCAGGCUUAAUACAUGCAAGUCGAGGGGCAGCACGAAUAGCAAUAUUUGGUGGCGACCGGCGCACGGGUGCGUAACACGUAUACAAUCUACCUUCAACAGGGGGAUAGCCUUUCGAAAGAGAGAUUAAUACCCCGUAAUAUAAGAAAUGGCAUCAUUUUUUAUUGAAAGUUCCGACGGUUGAAGAUGAGUAUGCGUCUGAUUAGCUAGUUGGUAGUGUAAUGGACUACCAAGGCUACGAUCAGUAGGGGAUCUGAGAGGACUACCCCCCCACACUGGUACUGAGACACGGACCAGACUCCUACGGGAGGCAGCAGUAAGGAAUAUUGGUCAAUGGAGGCAACUCUGAACCAGCCAUGCCGCGUGCAGGAUGACGGCCCUAUGGGUUGUAAACUGCUUUUGUACCAGAGAAAAACCCUUUUUACGUGUAGAAGGUUGAUAGUAUGGUAAGAAUAAGCAUCGGCUAACUUCGUGCCAGCAGCCGCGGUAAU